AAAAAAUUAGUUAAACCCCAAUAACAUUAGAUUGUCAAACUAAAAUUGUCUCCUCGACAUUUUUUA
rnacentral:tRNA from 1 species